AUGACCCAGUUAAACCUCCUUUUGCAGUUUCACUAUAAUAAAAACGGUCUAUAGCGACACUUUUAAAUAUAGGUACAUAUCAAAAAAGUGCUGCUAGCUAAAAUUACCGACACUUUUAAAAAGUGUUGCUAUAUAUGGGGUCGCUAGGUAUAUAGUGACAGUUAAAGAGUGUCGCUAUAACCAAAAAGAGUGCUGCUAAUUUACCAACACUUAUUUAAGUAUUUAGCAACUGCUGAAACUCUAUCUCGUUGGCUGCGGUGGCGGAGGAGGACGACAGUAAAGACUCUUCAUCUAGAAUUUCAGUGGAUUGAGUGAAGAGAGAAGAAAAGAAGGUAAUUGAUUUUUCUUUUUUUUUUUUUCUUUUUUGUUUGUAAUCGGGCCAAAUGGACUGGGUGUAGUGGGUUGAGUAGAGUAAUCUUUUAUUUUUGGUUGGAUUGGGUUUUAUAUUUAAGUAUUAGUAGAUGUGUUUUUAAGUUUUAGCAUAAAUGGGACACUUACUCAAAAGUGUCGGAAACAUGUGUUCCUAUAACCUAAUUAUGUUGUAGUGUUUAAACUGUAGCAAUUGAAUAGUAAUGCAACAACCAAAAUAAUUAAUAAAAUUAAUAUUAAUUCUUUAUGUACUUAAAUCCAUAAUACAGUAAUAACUACAAACAAUCAAACAAUAGUAAUCCAAUCCCAUCAAAAUUAUCAAACUUUAU
rnacentral:lncRNA from 1 species